ensembl:snoRNA SNORD73 Small nucleolar RNA SNORD73
GAGAAUUCAUGAUAAAGUAUUUCGGUCCCAAAUGAUGGUUGCUGAUUACUUAUGAGAUCAACUGAUUCUC